GACAGAGGGUGCAAACGUUGUUCGGAAUUACUGGGCGUAAAGCGUGCGCAGGCGGUUUUGUAAGCCAGAUGUGAAAUCCCCGGGCUUAACCUGGGAAUGGCAUUUGGGACUGCAAGGCUGGAGUACGGCAGAGGAGACUGGAAUUCCUGGUGUAGCAGUGAAAUGCGUAGAGAUCAGGAGGAAUACCGAUGGCGAAGGCAGGUCUCUGGGCUGAUACUGACGCUCAUGCACGAAAGCGUGGGGAGCAAACAGG
rnacentral:rRNA from 1 species